rnacentral:rRNA from 1 species
GAACGCUGGCGGCGUGCCUAAUACAUGCAAGUGGGACGCAGGAGAACUCACUGUGCUUGCACACCGUGUUUUCAGGAGUCGCGAACGGGUGAGUAACGCGUAGGUAACCUGCCUAUUAGCGGGGGAUAACUAUUGGAAACGAUAGCUAAUACCGCAUAAUAUUAAUUAUUGCCUGAUAAUUGAUUGAAAUAUGCAAGCGCAUCACUAGUAGAUGGACCUGCGUUGUAUUAGCUAGUUGGUAAGGUAAGAGCUUACCAAGGCGCCGAUACAUAGCCGACCCUCGAGGGUGAG